AAUAACGUUUGUUAAGUGCCAACGGCGGAGAAACAGACACCGUGAUCUAUGGACACUUUUUCGCUACAUGGAAGUGGAGGAAAAAAAGUCCUUAUGCUUGCUUUCAGUGGAAGACAUGGAAACAAGCCCAAAGACACGUCGCAGUUCACCCCAAAGCCAUUGUCGUGUCAAGUUUAUUUGUAUAGCCCUAAAUCACAAGCAGUCUCAAAGGGCUUCACAUAGACAAAAAUGGACAAUUCUUCUCAAAGCAUCCCCUGAUCUUAAGCUGUGUGUGUGUGUGUGUUUUUGUGUGUGUGCGCGCGCGCAUGUGUCUGCGACCAACCGCCCGCCCACCCGCGCUUCCCCACUGCCGAUUCAAUGAAUUCAUAUCGUUUGGCGUUAAAGUCGGCGUCUCGGAAGUAAAAAAGUCAAACCGUCCCGAGAGUACUUGUCAACUGCGGCGGGCACACGUGAAAGCCUCGUUGGCGUCAUCAGGGCAAGGGCGAGAGGAAGAAACGGGAUUGGGCUGGGCUCGACAUGGAGAGGAGCGAGCCUAGCCUAAGCGGGUCACAGCACGCAGGAUGACAUCACGGGCGCUGCGGUCUGGCCGUAUUGAUCAGGCAGGCGAAGGGUCGCCGGUGCUUUGAAAGCUUCCUAGGAACGCUCACCUUUGACAUCUUGCCAAGAGGCACUCACCGGGAUCGAUAAGCUCCGCCCGCAAGGCCGCAAGCAGACCUCGUGAACUCAUGACCUGGUGACCGCCGCCGGCUCGCUCCCUGACUGCUUCCUGUCGCCCCACGGCUACUUCCUGUGUCGCGGGCCGUGCGUGUUUAGUGAUGAUGGUGAUGACAUCGCAGCGCCUUCUUGACGGCUGGUGCAACCUUGUUGACCCCUGCGCGCGCACCUUCAUCCUCCGCCACCCCCCCAACACGGCCCCGCCCAUUAGCAUCUUUGACUGCGCGCGGCCGUGAAUCUGUUUAACACACGUGUGCGCGGAAAGAUGAAGAGGUCCAUGAUGCAAAUUGAGAGCAUCAAAGGCUCGUUAGCGUCAUUGAACUCAAGAAGAAGAAGACGACGGCGGCCUUGUUUGGACAUUUUGCGCACGUAGCUAAACAUUUGCAUGCUAACGAAGCUAACGUGACGUGCACCCAAAUGUGUGUGUGUUUAGGUGGAUUUGCACCAGUCAUAUUUUUGUGUCCGCACACAUGCGCACACACACACACUGCGUGAGUGUGCAUGUUUGUCGGCGUGUGCGCGUUGGCAAUGACAUGCGUGACGAGGCUCCUGACGGGCAUCCGGAUUGCGGGAUCAAUGGCUCACAUUUGCUAAAUGGAGGAUUGAAAAGAUUGCGCAAGCCUCCGUGGAAAUACCAGAGCCACAUUUGCAUCGGCGGGCGUCCUGGCCGCUUCGCCAUCAGCACCAAAAUAACGCUCAGAGGGCCCAGUUAGCAGCUGAUUGGGCCCAAGCCACGCCCCCUUUUCCCAACGUCCAAAGCGUCACCGUGGAACGAGAUGACAAGGGUGCGCGCGCGUGUGUCUCUUUAGGGGCCUUUUGUGUCUUUGUUUGUGUUGGCGUCUUGCUUGGAGUAAAUGGAGCACCUUGACAACGCGAGUGGGUAUCUUGGCCAAGAUGAUCAGGCUUUUAUUUUGAAGGGAACUCGCAGUGUCUCCUAAUGUAUUGAUGAGCCGUCGCUAUGGUUACAAGGUGAUACACGGCGGCAGUUGGCGGCUUGACGCCAGUGUAGCGAGUCAAAGGAUGUCGGGGCUCAGAGGUCACGGUGGGUGUGUCAGUGAAAAGGCAAUGAAUAAAUGAGUGCUGCUAACAGGUUGCGUUUGAAUAAUGGUAGCUGGGGGUCGGAGAACGCCGCUGCAGCCCGCACAAAAGAGCCAGCGCAGAUGGCGCUGGGCGAGUUAAGGCAAGUGGGCGGCGGCUUAGUUAAAGGGAGUUAAGGCAGAUGGUCCCGAUGGUCCCCGGCGGUCGUGACGGCACGCCCCGCCCCGCCAAUGUUUACUAACCGACCGACCGAGGAGGAGACAAAGUGGCGGACGCUGGUCACCGUGACCACGCUGCUAAUAGAGCCAAAUUGAGGCCAAUAGACGCUAAUUGCACUUCAGUUGCAUUCGUCGAUGGGGGCACGCCGCCACCGCCGCCGCCGCUGCCUCUCAUUGGCUAACGAGCACGUCUCCUUCUUCUCGUUUGGGCUUAUUGCGGUGGGCAAACGCUGAUCAGUUGUUAACAAGGCAAAAGUCGCAUUGUGCUGGUGAAGGAACUCGUUUGCCAGGCUUAGCAUCAAGCUCGCUCAAGGUGUCUCGCCACGGACGGACGGGCAAACUAGCACCAGCGCCAGUUAGCGACUGCGCUUUGUAAGUCAAUUAGCUGGGCGCAAUGUGAUUAAAGGAAGCUCCGCCUCCCGCUAACCACACGCCGAGCGUGGCGUCGCUCGGGGAUUAGCCGCUCUGCGGCUCUUGUCAUUAGCGUGGCGAUUGGAUUUGAAAACACUCCAAAGCUUUUCAAUGUUUGACGCCGCAAAGUCGCGUGAAAGGUCAAGUCAAAUAAUGAGCAACUUCCAAAAGUGCAAAUUGUUUUUGAAUGCUCCCAAUCCCAUCCGCGUGCAGCAUGAACAUUGCGGCUCGGUCGGCGGGGGCAUGGCAAACAGGCCCGAGGUGGCCGGCCAAAAGGGGCCGCAGGUGUCAAUGAUGAUGAGUUGUCGUGGAAAGGCGCUCACGCAGAUGGGUCGGCGGCCGGUGUCACGCGUGGCUGCGGCCAGCGCACGCCUCCAAUUUGGGCGCCAUCUUUUCAUUAGCGCUCGCCGCCGCCGCCGCCGCGCACUUGAUUAAAGAUCACGCGCCGUGACUGCGGCCACACGCCCGUGACACCGGCCGAACACCGCCAUUAUUAAUGGCCGCACUCGCUAGCGGCACUCGCGUGUCGCUCGCCUGUCAACGUGGGGGAGAGGCGUUCCCCCCUCCCCCAUUAGGGACCAUCCGUCACUGUCGGGACCCCGCGUGAUGAAUGGACCCGGCGGCGCACGUGUGUUUGAAUCCGCUCUGGUGCGUUGGGCCCACAGAAUGGGAUGGGAUGGGAUGAAAUGAGAUGGGGUUGGAUUCGCAGCCGGCGCACGCAAUGGCCAACUGGCCUUUGCAAAGAUCUGGACCGCUGUUGAAGUCGCCUUGGCUUGGCCCGGCCCACACGUGCCCCCACGACACGGAGCCACGACGGAGCCACGACGGAGCCACGGCGGAGCCACGGCGGAGCCACGGCGGAGCCACGACGGAGCCACGACGGAGCCACGACGGAGCCACGACGGAGCCACGACGGAGCCACGACGGAGCCACGACGGGGCCACGACGGGGCCACGACGGGGCCACGACGGGGCCACGACGGGGCCACGACGGGGCCACGACGGGGCCACGACGGGGCCACGACGGGGCCACGACGGGGCCACGACGGGGCCACGACGGGGCCACGACGGGGCCACGACGGAGCCACGACGGAGCCACGACGGAGCCACGACGGAGCCAUCAGCUUUCCGCCCACCGUGAGCUUGCGCAAUUCCUCCAGCGGUGCGCCCGCUUUCCGUUUCUCCGUGUCCGGCCAGCCGGGGGCCAGCCUCUCGUGCACGCGACUUUAGGGACUUUGCGUGAUGAAUGUGCAAUUAAAGAAACCUUGAUGUACGUGGCGUGGGUCGCCAUGGUAAUUGUAAAGGAAGUCAUAUGCAUAAAAUUAAUUAUGCGGCGCAGUAAGGCCCAUAAAUCAGCGUGCCGUCAAUUCCGGCGGGAAAGCUCGGGAGCGCCGCGCCGAGGUAGCCUGCCCGCCCGCCCGCCGCGCCCGCUGGCUGCCUGGCUGGCCGGCCAGGCAGGGAUGGAGGAAAGAGGGCCGGCCGGGAAUCGUCUCCUCUUUCUUCCCAAUCGGGGAAGUCAUCUCUCGUCUUCAAACAGGAAAUGAACUUUUCCUCAUUUGGAUUCAUACGGAGCCUGGCGCAUCCUGUUUCCCGCCAGCCGCCGGGGACCGGCCCGUAAUCCUCAGCUGACGAUGUCACCGCGCGAUUAACGACUUAAUGAAGAUCGUUAGCGCGGCGGCUUUUUUGCAGCUGCUCCGUAAACGUCGUCGUUAGCUUUUAUUUUGCUUGCCGCUUUCCUCCUUAAUCGUCCUGACGCCGCCGAGGUGGGAACGUAGCGCUACGCUAAUGACACUCCGGCGAGGCCUUUGCCACGCAUUGCCAAGGGGAGCCAAACGACGACGACGCUAACGCAAUGCCAACCUUCGACGUACAAAAAAUUCUGGCACAACGCUAGCAAAAAGGGAAGGGGAAAAGCUAACGGAAUUGUGCUGCAACAUUGUAUCAUGCUAACAUUACAGUUGCACAAUGUUAAAAGCAACUUUAGGAGAAUGCGAAACGCAGGAUGCGAUCGCAAAAUUAGCAUCACGCUAACUGAACAAGAUCACCAUGCUGGCACAGUACUUCAAAAUGCUAACGAGAAUCUUUCACAGUGCAUUAGUGCAAUGUUGCCAUUUUUGUGUUCUUUUUGGAUUGUUGUCAUUUACAUUGCGAACAUAACAUAACGGAAUAAUGCAUCUUUUGCAAAAAUGCUAAAAACAACACAAUUGGAAAAACGAGACAACGGCAGGAAGUACGAGCGGCGACCAAUCCUUCUUUAAAAAGCUAGCGUGUUUGCGGCCAGGCCGUCCUUGUGACCCGGCGCCGACCCGCUGAGCGUGACGCGGGCGGCGUGUCAGGAAAUGACACGCUUUUAAGACAUGCCCUGUAGCCCCCCCCCCCCCCCCCUUCCCCAACUUUCUGUCUGUGACUUGCCAAAACUUUGAAAACUUGUCCAAAUAUUACAAUUGGCCUUCAACGCUCUGACGCCAUGUGUGCCGCCAAGCUGUGUAAACCAUGCGCACGCGCACAUAUGCGCAUGCACAGGCGCGCACAGGCGCACACACACACACACACACACGCACGCACACACUGCCGCUAUGUGGGCUAAUUGUGUCCAUUAGCAGCAUGCAAAUAAUCUUUGUGUUUCUUUUCUUCAUGCUCUCAAUGUGUCUUUGAUGCUAAUAACAACAAGCGUUGGUGUUAGUGCAGUUAGUGAGAAUGUUGUGCUAACGUUUGAUGAUGACACGCCUCAUGCCUACCGAGGGGGGGGUCGCGACCUCCCACGUCCAGUGGUGAAUGCUGAGAAAGUUGCCGCAUCACAUGGCGCUCAGCACAUGAACCGCGUUAGCCGCAUUCUCACGUUGCCCUUGUCAUUUUUCCCACGUACAUUAUUGUGUGUGUGUGUGUGCAGUUAGUUUAGUUUAGUUUAUUGUUUAGCACAUAUUAUUAUAUCAAUAACUGUGCAAGGAGGGAGACGAAGCCUAGGGCUUGUAAAGAGCUCCACUCCUCCUAGUUGAGUGAGCAGGUUUGAAUCCCAGCACACACAUACACAAAAGCACACACACACGGACACACACAACUUGUGGUUGCGGCAGUGUCCUUGACAAAGUGACAGGUAUCUAACCCCCCCCCCCCCCCCUCCCCGCGUUCACCGACAAAUGUCAAGAAGGACGACGGCAAUUGGCGGCGAUUAGUGAGCGCGGCAGCCGUUUAAAGACGUUUGACGGCAAGGCUCGAAGGGGAGGUCUCGUGUUUAUGAUGUCAUCGCGCCAUCGGGGGCCGUUAGCCUCGACAGCGGGACGCUCGGGGUGGGACCCGGCGGGCGCCAGAGUGCCUCAUUGGCGGGCCAAUCCUGCCGCUGUCCAGACCACGUGCACUCAUACCUGGCGUGCCGUGAGCGAAAGCAUCUUUACGUUGAUGCGCAUGAUUGUGCGUGCAACGCGUUCGAGUGUGUGUGCGCGUGACUACGCGUGUUCUUGUGACCUUCAAGCGAGCAUGUAGGUCAGAGGCAUGUGCGCAUGCGUGUGAUAGCGCUUGGAGUGAGGCGUGCGUGCGUGCGUGCGUGCGUGCGUGUGUAUGGCAGGCGCGUGACAGCAGCCAGAGUGGAGCCGCCGGCCUGUCCAACGCGUUGUCCGUGUCCAUUGGCGAGAGAGAGAGAGAGAGCGGGCCGGGCCGGGCCUGUAGCGUUGACGGCAUCGACCUUCGCACAUCAGCGACGUUGGCGCAACACGAGCUCGAUUCUCCAGCGUGAUGUCACACGUGCCGCUAGUCACAGUCAGACGAUCUGCGCACCCGGUGCAUAACUAAAAAUGUGGAUUAGCAUGAGCGCCGACAACACGCCAAGAACACGCGCCCAAACAGGAUGCGUGUCUACACAAACGUAGACGCUGGUCUGCAGCAAUACACGCACAACACGAGACCUGCAUGCAAGAAUCUGACACGCACUAAACAAAAUCAGUCUGGCGAGCGCGUGACCACGAGGACGGGCAUGCGGUCACGUGACGGCGCCGAUGACGACGGGCACGUGGUCAAAUGACGACGGAUGGGCCGUUCGCCAGUCGAGACAGACGACCGAGUGGUCACCAGCAAGUGUCCGGGGACGGGCGUCGUCUACUAGCAAAGAACUUGUGGACACAAACAUGGACUGGACGCCAACCAGUGUCGAGGAACAUUGAGACAUGCAACACACUCCCAUCAUGCUAUUGCCACAUUGGGAGUAGUGACGAGCCAAUCACUCCAAAGCUGACGUCUGGCUUGCAAGGUAAAGCCCGGCCGCCCGCCUGCUUCAAGCCGCCCGCCCGCCU